CCUACGGGUGGCAGCAGUGAGGAAUAUUGGUCAAUGGGCGAGAGCCUGAACCAGCCAAGUCGCGUGCAGGAAGACGGUCCUAUGGAUUGUAAACCUCUUUUGUCGGGGAGCAAAACUGCCUCGUGAGGCCACAAGUGAGAGUACCCGAGGAAAAAGCAUCGGCUAACUCCGUGCCAGCAGCCGCGGUAAUACGGAGGAUGCGAGCGUUAUCCGGAUUUAGUGGGUUUAACGGGGGCGUAGGUGGAUUGUUAAGUCAGUUGUGAAAGUUUGCGGCUCAACCGUGAAAUUGCAGUUGAAACUGGCAGUCUUGAGUACAGUAGAGGUGGGCGGAAUGCGUGGUGUAGCGGUGAAAUGCUUAGAUAUCACGAAGAACUCCGAUUGCGAAGGCAGUUCACUGGACUGCAACUGACACUGAGGCUCGAAAGUGUGGGGAGCAAACAGGAUUAGAUACCCCAGUAGUC
rnacentral:rRNA from 1 species